CGCACGGGUGAGUAACACGUAUGGAACCUGCCCUAUGCAGGGGGAUAAGCGGAAGAAAUUCCGUCUAAUACCGCAUAACACCUUUAGGAGACAUCUUCUUGGGGUCAAAGGAGGCGACUCCGGCAUAGGAUGGGCAUGCGUCGCAUUAGCUAGUCGGCGGGGUAACGGCCCACCGAGGCGACGAUGCGUAGGGGUUCUGAGAGGAAGGUCCCCCACACUGGUACUGAGACACGGACCAGACUCCUACGGAAGGCAGCAG
rnacentral:rRNA from 1 species